GUGUCAGCAGCCGCGGUAAUACGUAGGGGGCUAGCGUUGUCCGGAUUUAUUGGGCGUAAAGAGCGUGUAGGCGGCCAUGUAGGUCCGGUGUGAAAACUCGAGGCUUAACCUCGAGAUGUCAUCGGAAACCAUUUGGCUAGAGUCCGGAAGAGGAGAGUGGAAUUCCUGGUGUAGCGGUGAAAUGCGCAGAUAUCAGGAAGAACACCAAUGGCGAAAGCAGCUCUCUGGGACGGUACUGACGCUGAGACGCGAAAGCGUGGGGAGCGAACAGGAUUAGAAACCCCCGUAGUCC
rnacentral:rRNA from 1 species